CUGAAUCAAACGGUGGUAUUUUCAUUUAAGCCUGGUUCACAUAUAUGCCUGCGACGUGCCUGCGACGUACCGGCGACGUACCGGCGACGAUGCCGAUGGUAGCUUUAAAACAUUGCCUCCAGUGCCACAGUUACAUCGGCGGUAGGCCGGGAAAGUUGACUUGAGUUCAACUUUGCCGGUAUUUCGGCGGCAAGUAGAGGCAUAAUGAUACAGUCGCAGGCAUGCCGCAGGUAUAUGUGAACCAGGCUUUACAUAGCAUUCACUGAACCGAAGACAUGAAACCCGCAAAAUACUAUUCCACAAUCGGCAUAGUUCAAAUUAGCGCUUGUUGAGAAAAUAAUAGCUAAACUUAGCAGCCUUUACCUUUCAUUUCCUACAAAUAAGCUCGUGGACUCGUCAAAAUUGACUGAAUCUACAAGUUCAAAUGGUGUAGAUCGUUAAUAUUGCCAAAUUGCGCAAAAAAAUUGUAAAAACUAAAUUAUGAGAUGUUCCAGAUAUUCCAGACGUUCCAGUUGUUCCAGAUGUUCCAUUCCAUGUUUUAGACGUUGCCGUACGAUAUCGAAAGUUAAUUUAAUUUUGAAUAUAUGUUCAACAACAGGUUCAACAUUGCCCCUUGAGCAAUGGCCGGCGAAGAAUCCAACCCGCGUAAUGGUUCUCCAUUCCCUGAGGCUCGCCAGGGUAAGUCCGUAAGUGAACUGAUGACGAACGUCUUCUUCAUGAGUGAAGAACGGUGGAAUGAGUCUCGCGAACACGGUAACUUUGAUUAUGUUGUCAUUGGGUCAUCGUUUUGUGCUUGGGCUUUUACUCAACGCAUGUUGGAGAAGAAUCCAAAAGCGAAGAUCCUUAUUCUCGAACGCGGCGAAUAUUAUUAUCUAGAGCACUUUGAAAACCUUCCACCUUCCUAUAAAAGGAAGUUGACAUAUGAUUCAAAGAGGCAUCACUGGAAUAGAACAAAAAAAAUGCAAGAAGGGAAAUUAAUUAAUAAGCAGGAUGGGAUUAACGACGUCUUUGGCGGCCAGUCAGCGUUUUGGCGUGGUUGGUGUCCCCAACCGAGUAGAGAAGAUCUGGAUGGUUGGCCAGAGAGUGUCAAGGACAUUAUCGAAGAAUAUUUCCCCCUAGCAACAGAGCUCCUGAACGUCGUGUCUACAGAUCUGAUCUGUAUAAAUGAGCAAAAAUGCUGCAAAAGUGACGACCACCAUUACGUAUUUGGCGAAUUUCAAACCGUUCUUAUGGAAAAGAUUAAAUCGUGUCUACCGGAAGCAGUUAAAAGGGUUGAUCAUGCC